GGUAGCGGUGGUAGCUCAGUCGGGUGAGCGCCCGCUUCUCACGCCAGAGAUGCGGGUUCGAAUCCCGACGCUGACAUGUACCA
rnacentral:tRNA from 1 species